UACAGAGGGUGCAAGCGUUAAUCGGAAUUACUGGGCGUAAAGCGUGCGUAGACGGUUAUGUAAGUCGGGUGUGAAAGCCCCGGGCUCAACCUGGGAAUGCCAUUCGAGACUGCAUAGCUAGGGUGCGGAAGAGGGAAGCGGAAUUUCCGGUGUAGCGGUGAAAUGCGUAGAUAUCGGAAGGAACACCAGUGGCGAAAGCGCUUCCUGGUCCAGCACCGACGUCAGCACGAAAGCGUGGGGAGCAAACAGG
rnacentral:rRNA from 1 species